UUCCCCCCAAAAUUUCCACUUUGUUUUGCACUUGCACUCACUUUCCCCAAUUACCAUCAACCCUAGCUAUUCCUAAACGCUCAAUAGACGCGACCAGAAAACCAAAAAAAUUCUGCUUUCAAUUUCUUUCGUGGUGGCUGCUUGAUUAAGGUUUGAAACGGAGUAAUGUUGAAGAAGUGGCACUUACUAUCAGAGGCAAAAAAGAAUAAGAUCAACUACUUGAUGGCUAUGUCGGAGGAGGCAGAAGAAAAGAAAGUGCCAUCACUUCUCGUCUUGAAGUCCUAAAGGAAGAAAGACACGAUUUCUUUGGUGUUGCAUAUAUUGUUAAUAAGGUAUUAUGCUGCGUGAUUUGCGACCAAUAUUGUUUCUCAUUCUGACACACCGUUGAUUUACUUUGUUUUUGAAGUUUAAGUGUACGAAUUUAAUAUUUUAGUCCAUGUUUCUUGCUCUGAUUUUACGAUUUACUAAUAUGUUGCUCAUACUGAAUACAAUGAAAGGAUUAUAAACCUAAUUAAAUAAGCUUAAAGACAUUAUAUUGGAAUAUCUUUUUAGAAUGUCUAAGUUUAUAUUGGAAUAUCUUUUUGAAAUGUUUUUCAAAUUCUUCUAAAAGUACAUGAAUGAGGGCGGGUUUGGGUUUGUUCACAGUAAUCUAAAAAUAUAGCUUUUCCUUGAAUUAAUAAAAGAACGAAAAAAAAGAAUAGUUACUAAUAUUUUUCAGAAUUAAAGAGGAGAAAUUAAUGAGUUCAUGGCUUAUUUUAUCAGGUGCUUGAAUGUGUCUAUCUGAGAAUGAUUUAUCAUUUGGGUUCGUCUUAACUUAACAUUUCCAUUUGAUUUUCAUUGUUUAUAGGUGUUUGGUUCUUUAGUAGUUAAAGGUGAUAGAAUCUGAUUGACCCUUUUGCUACUUUGAAAUCAUUGCACAAUUCUUGAUUUUCCUUCAACAGGUGAUUCUUCCUCCUCUAGGUAUGCUUGCUUUUGGGUUUCUAUAGCUUUUUUACUCAUGUUUUGUGUUAAAGUUGUAACAUUUUAUAUUUAUUUACUUUAUUUCAACAACCAUCACCCAAAUACUUGCCUUCCUUUUUUUAGUUAUCUAAGCUAUAAUUAUGGGUUUAUGUGUUUUGUCCUUGACAGAAAAACAUAAGAAGUAAAAGAUCAUAAGAAAGCAAUGGUAAACUUAUUUUACAUAUCAUCCAAAUUGAUUAGACAAUGUUAAGGAAGACUUUGUUAAAUGUAAAGAUUUAGAACUUUUAAAUAUUUUGUUAUUUCCACUGAAAGUAAAAGGGUAAAGGAAUUGGGCAUUUUAUUUUGGUAGUUGUAACUAGUAGAAUUGAUGCAUCAACUAAAUCCAUCCCUGCACAUGCACUUAUAAUUCUGAGAAUGCUCCUUUUUGGAUUUAUAUUAAUGCACCACUUGGAAGAACAUGGAAGUAUAUUCUUGUAGAUUUUAUUUUGUUAUUUCAAAAAAGUACUGUGAGCAGAAGACAAUGGUGCUUAUUAGCUGUCUUAUGGGUAUUAAUUUUUACAAAAAAGAUAGUGUAGUAAUUUUUCCCCAUUAGAAGUACUGAUGCAUUGUCUAUAUGCGAGUAAGUUUCAUAAAUUAGAUAUUUUUGAAACACAUUAACAUGAUUAAGUCCAACCAGACUACUAAGCUUUUUAUCUUUCCGUGUGUUUCACUUUAAAGUUUGAGAAAUAAAUAUACUUACUUGCAUAAAUUUUCUUUAAUAAAGUUUCCUUUUAUAAUAACUGUAAUUUUUUUAAAGGAUACUUUCAAACGAAGCUUAGAGGAGUUCAUUCAAAGUCCGCCGAUUGAUGAUCAAGGUAGGCUAAUCCAACCAUCCCAAGAGGAGAUCAUGGACAUGUGGAUUAAGGCAGCUGGUGGCGUGCAUAAGAGGAUAGUCUACGGCAUUAGAUCCGAGUUUGAAUAGGAAAGUAGCGAAGAUUAUUGAGUUGUAUCUUCAAGAAAGGGCUACAGGGGAGAAAAGGCAAAGUGGAGGGAGGAAGAAGAUAGGCGAAGAGAGGAAUAGGAAAGGCGAAGGGAGGAAGAAAUAAGGCGAAAGGACGAUGCAUUAAUUAAGACUUGUCACUAGUGAUGUUAAAAGUCUCAAGUCUCAGAUAAAUUCCCUCUUAGCAUCUUGUGCAUUUCCCGUGCCCCGUUCUCUAGCAUCUGAUUAUAACUAAGGAGUAAUUUCUUUUAUUAGUUUGUCUUGGAUGGUACCUGGAUGUUGAACAUUGAAUGUUGGAUUUUUUGAGUUUUUGUUCUACUUUCUGUUUAGUUGGAUAUUGAUUAUGAAAUGGAUGAAUUAGGUGUUUUUUAUGAAAUGGAUGAAUUAGGUGUUUUUUAUGAAA